ACACGCAAUGAUGAAGCUGAAGGGCAUUUCUCAUUGGCUUGUUGGCUAAAAGUUUGUCCUUCAUAAAUUUGUACUUAUUAUACUUGUGGCUGCUAAGAAAAUAACUUUUUCUUACUGAAGGAUGCCUGGAGUCUAGAAACCAUCCGGCUUGCUUGGGGAUCAAGGAGUAUACGAUCCAUCUACAUCAUAUGUUGGAUUUAUUGGUAUUGGCUUUCAUGCAAAAGAGAAUAGACAUUGAUAUUUAUGAUACUGAGACUGGCCAGAUUCUCUAUGGUUUGCUCACGAGGAUUCUAUGAUCCAUUUGCAUCGUAUCUGAAGUGUUCCUUUAGUUUGUUAGAUUUUGUAUGAAACAUUUUACAUCAUGUUUAUAGGAAGCAAUGCUAGAUUGAAGUGGUU
rnacentral:lncRNA from 1 species